rnacentral:lncRNA from 1 species
CUCCUGAACUUGAGAGUGGACGACUUCAAAGCUAGCUCUCACAGACUCACCUGGAAAAGAGUUCAGCUGCGCGUUCAUUGAACCGAGAGGCCAGAUCACCUAUGUGAGGCGGUGGGAACCAUAUGGAGAUUUAUAUUAGAACUUCAGCAAAGUGCACAGCUGCAGCCGGCAGAAGCCAGCUCUCGGGCUGACAGGCAAAUGAACCAGAUCGUGGACGGGGCCUCUGGGUGGCAGCUCCGGCCUUUUGGUUGUUGGACAACUAUAGUCAGAACUGAAAUGGAACAGGGGCAGGAGAAAUAACACACUUUUACUCCACGCAACUGUUGCUUUCACAUGAUCUUCAGGAAUGUAACUGGGAUAAUUGUCCAAAUUGAAUCCCAUACCCUGUCAUGGUACUGAUUAUUAAGGUGACUAUAUGAAAGGAUCACUCCAAAAUAACAGGAAUCUUGAGGAACCCAUUAAUGUAAAGCUGCGGCCAGAGUUCCAUGAGGAGGCAGAAUGUUCUAGAUGAUCCCUGUCUCUUCUCCAUUGAGGAAGUCGUUUCUUGCCUCUCUGUAAGCUCAGUUAAUCAUACCAGAAUAGGAGUCCUGUCUUAACUGAGCAAUAUACACUAUGGAGAGAUCCUUCAAAACCCGUCGGGACGAAUAACAGAUGAAUUCAUAAAACUGUUCAUCUCUGUUAUCCUGAAUGGUCACUCAGACAACAUUUUACUCAACUAUAAAGGGGAACACUUAAAGUGCAUAUGAGAAGAGAAGAGAAUGACCACAGGAGAAAAUCAUCUCAGCUUUCUCCACCCAGGGCAAAGGCAACAACAACAAACGUCCUAUACUCAAGCCGACUGACCUCAUCUCGUUCCACCCCACCUCAUCCAAUCAGAAAUCUCACACGCUCCAGGCAAGAGCUCAAGUCAGUCACCGAUAGGCUGACAGAUCCGGAUCACGAGCAAUACGCAUGCUUUUUUACUGCGCAUGCUCAGGCAAGGCAGUAAACAUGGAGAAGCAUAUUGUGUGAUGUUCUAUAUUUAUGAGACCCAUAGCAAACUGUGAAGAGAUAACAGAAUGCUUUUUGCGUGAGCUGAAACAGUAGAUGAAAUCUUUCAUUAAAAUUACUCAUACUUUGGGUCCUAUUCUUAUUUAUAAAUAAAUAUUAUUGCAAACAU